GCUCGGCAAUGAAGUGACAGGGCUCUGGAAUAGUUCUGACACAAGGGAGAUAUUCCAAGAAAUUAUUCGAG
rnacentral:rRNA from 1 species